AGAACGAACGCUGGCGGCAUGCCUAACACAUGCAAGUCGAACGAAGGCUUCGGCCUUAGUGGCGCACGGGUGAGUAACGCGUGGGAAUCAGCCUAGCAGUGGGGAAUAACGAUGGGAAACUGUCGCUAAUACCGCAUACGCCCUUCGGGGGAAAGAUUUAUUGCUGUUAGAUGAGCCCGCGUCCGAUUAGGUAGUUGGUGGGGUAAAGGCCUACCAAGCCUUCGAUCGGUAGCUGGUCUGAGAGGAUGAUCAGCCACACUGGGACUGAGACACGGCCCAGACUCCUACGGGAGGCAGCAGUGGGGAAUAUUGGACAAUGGGGGAAACCCUGAUCCAGCAAUGCCGCGUGAGUGAUGAAGGCCUUAGGGUUGUAAAGCUCUUUCGGGUGGGACGAUGAUGACGGUACCACCAGAAGAAGCCCCGGCUAACUUCGUGCCAGCAGCCGCGGUAAUACGAAGGGGGCUAGCGUUGUUCGGAAUUACUGGGCGUAAAGCGCACGCAGGCGGCUCGUUAAAUUAGAAGUGAAAGCCCUGGGCUCAACCCGGGAAUUGCUUUUAAGACUGGCGAGCUAGAAUUCGGAAGAGGGCAGUGGAAUUCCAAGUGUAGAGGUGAAAUUCGUAGAUAUUUGGAAGAACACCAGUGGCGAAGGCGACUGCCUGGUCCGAGAUUGACGCUCAUGUGCGAAAGCGUGGGGAGCCAAACAGGAUUAGAUACCCUGGUAGUCCACGCUGUAAACGAUGAGUGCUAGUUGUUGGGGUACAUGUACUUCAGUGACGCAGCUAACGCAUUAAGCACUCCGCCUGGGGAGUACGGCCGCAAGGUUA
rnacentral:rRNA from 1 species